rnacentral:lncRNA from 1 species
GCUUCACAAAAUAUAAUCAUAUGAAUAUAUGUAAAAUAGCAACCAAUGAAACAAAUAUGCAAAAUAUAUAUGUGCUUCAAGAAAUAACAUAUUGUAUUCAGCAUGUCAAGAUUUAUAUAACUCAAGUCUAGACAAGAAGUCAAUUCAUGAGGGACUAUCAAAGAUUCACCACCAAGAAUAAAGUUCAUCAAGAUAAAAAGACAUGGCGUUAGACCAUCACUUCUGGAGAGGAACAUUUACCUGCAAUUACAACUAUUAUACUUCAAUUAUAUGAGUUUAAUACAUUAUAGUGCUUCAAUUUUUGUCUGAAAUAAUAAUUUGACAUUUAUUUUUCACAGAAAUGGUGAGGAACUUGAUUAGUUUCUUCAGCAGCAAUUUUGCAAUGAAGGUUGAUGUUUCACUAAAAGACUCCCAAACUUUCAAAAUAAUCGUAAAAAGAGUUGUAAUGAUUUUAUAUGUAGAUGUGGUUUGUUCACCAAUGAGACAACUAUCCGACGUAGUUAUUCACAAUAGAGCCUGCAUAGAUUCUAACAAAAAUAAUAACGUGCGAUAUAGACAAGUAUAUUUAGAAAAAAUCAGCAGUUUGAUAAUGAUUAAAAAAUACUGCAUCAGGUUAAGUAAUUGAACGUGGAUGCGUACUUUAGCAUCCCAAAUUGAAUAGCACCCUCCGAUUUAAACUGGUAUAAAUGUUAUUCUAGAACUUAAGAUUU